rfam:Trichobilharzia regenti genome assembly, scaffold: TRE_scaffold0007716
AUCCAGCUAACGAGUCCCAAAUAGGACGAAAUGCGCAUCCUGGAU